rnacentral:rRNA from 1 species
GAAUUCGCCCUUAGAGUUUGAUCCUGGCUCAGGAUGAACGCUGGCGGCGUGCCUAACACAUGCAAGUCGAACGAAGCACUGAGAGUUUGAGAUUUCGGUCAAGAACUUUCUUUGACUUAGUGGCGGACGGGUGAGUAAUGCGUGAGCAACCUGCCUUUCAGAGGGGGACAACAAUUGGAAACGACUGCUAAUACCGCAUGAUAUAUUCGAAUCGCAUGAUUUGGAUAUCAAAGAUUUAUCGCUGAAAGAUGGGCUCACGUCUGAUUAGUUAGUUGGUGAGGUAACGGCUCACCAAGACUGCGAUCAGUAGCCGGACUGAGAGGUUGAACGGCCACAUUGGGACUGAGAUACGGCCCAGACUCCUACGGGAGGCAGCAGUGGGGAAUAUUGGGCAAUGGGCGAAAGCCUGACCCAGCAACGCCGCGUGAAGGAAGAAGGUCUUCGGAUUGUAAACUUCUUUUAUCAGGGACGAAGAACGUGACGGUACCUGAUGAAUAAGCCACGGCUAACUACGUGCCAGCAGCCGCGGUAAUACGUAGGUGGCAAGCGUUAUCCGGAUUUACUGGGUGUAAAGGGCGCGUAGGCGGGGAUACAAGUCAGAUGUGAAAUCUAUGGGCUUAACCCAUAAACUGCAUUUGAAACUGUAUCUCUUGAGUGUCGGAGAGGUAGACGGAAUUCCUAGUGUAGCGGUGAAAUGCGUAGAUAUUAGGAGGAACACCAGUGGCGAAGGCGGUCUACUGGACGAUAACUGACGCUGAGGCGCGAAAGCGUGGGGAGCAAACAGGAUUAGAUACCCUGGUAGUCCACGCCGUAAACGAUG